rnacentral:lncRNA from 1 species
GGUGGGUGGAUCACGAGGUCGGGAGAUCGAGACCAUCCUGGCUAACACGGUGAAACCCUGUCUCUACUAAAAAUACAAAAAAUUAGCCGGACACGGUGGCAGGUGCAAGUAGUCCCAGCUACUUGGGAGGCUGAGGCAGGAGAAUGGUGUGAACCCGGGAGGUGGAGGUUGCCGUGAGCCGAGAUUGCGCCACUGCACUCCAGCCUGGGCGACAGAGCGAGAUU